rnacentral:tRNA from 1 species
CAGGGAGACAAAAACUGAUCGUGAUGUCUGAGUAUUUUCUUAGGCCAUGAUCCUGUCACCUUAGGUCGAUCGGUACCUCAGCCAGAUUUCAAGAAAGUUUGAUCAAUAAAUUUUGAAAUUGGUCUCAGUUCCUAAACUUGUCUAGAUCACACCCAACAAGGGUACUCCUGGGCCAUUAGCUCAGGUGGUUAGAGCGCACCCCUGAUAAGGGUGAGGUCCCUGGUUCAAGUCCAGGAUGGCCCAUUCGGUGUUGGGGGUAUAGCUCAGUUGGUAGAGCGCCUGCUUUGCAAGCAGGAUGUCAGCGGUUCGAGUCCGCUUACCUCCACUGAUCGACUUCCUGAUGGCGAAUACCGAGGAGUUUUGUUAAGUGUGAUUUAGAGUUGUUUUUUCUGACAUGAACCUAGCUUCCUAUCAUUCCAAAUUCUUUCAAAAGCAAAGAUUUGGCUGACAGCAUGCUGGGCUCUCUACUUUUAUUAAAAGUAGAAGAUGUUCAGUAGAACCUUGAAAACUGCAUAGUGAGUCUGGAAAGAAUAAAGCAUCUCAUGGAUGCAUUAUUCUGACUUUAUAACUAGUUUUGUUUUAAUAAACUAACUAGACUUAAAGAAACGAAUAAUGUUCUAAUUCUUGAGUUAAGAGCUAAGACUCUAUGAUUUCUUUUAUUGUCUUUCAAUAAGAGUCCGAUCAUGUAUUUGAUACAUUAAAUACAUGAGAAAUAAUUUAUAGAGAUAAAU